rnacentral:rRNA from 1 species
UACGAAGGGGGCUAGCGUUGCUCGGAAUUACUGGGCGUAAAGGGCGCGUAGGCGGCCUGCUAAGUCGAACGUGAAAUCCCUGGGCUCAACCCAGGAACUGCGUCCGAUACUGGUUGGCUUGAAUCCGGGAGAGGGAUGUGGAAUUCCAGGUGUAGCGGUGAAAUGCGUAGAUAUCUGGAGGAACACCGGUGGCGAAGGCGACAUCCUGGACCGGUAUUGACGCUGAGGCGCGAAAGCCAGGGGAGCAAACGGG